GUUUUCUUUUCUCACUCUUCAAAACGACGGACAUUCCUUUCCUUAGAUCGCACGUCGAGACAUUGGUGCCUCCUUCUUCCUUCUUAGGAACCUUUGUUCAUCGGACACGUGUUAGCUCCGCCGAAACGCAUCGGAAUCGUGGGAAUCGGCUAUAUAUCGCCGGUGAAGAAGAUGAAGAUCGACGUCAACAAAAUCGCUCGGAAAGUCGAGGUCGAUGAUCGAAUUCCUCUCCGGUACUAUUUCAGAAUCGCCGAUAAUCUCCUCAGACAGGUUAGCUCUCCUUCUUAUUCGCUCCCUAAUUGCAUUUUGAUCUUGUGUUGUUUCUAAUAUCGUAGUUUUUAUGAUUGGUUAAGGUCCUUUUUUUUUCCAGUUAGGUAAUGGAUCCGAAUUUGUUGGUAAUGGAGGUUGAAUUGGGGGUUUUAAAUGUUGUGAUUUUAUGUACUGCACUUGAUAAUUUUUUUUUUAAUCUUCUACAGGGGAAUAUACACCGGGAGGAGAAGAACAUCGUAGAUUUGUAUACAAUUCUACUUAGAUUUUCAAG
rnacentral:misc_RNA from 1 species